CAAUUUGGGGGAUUUGGAUGCGCAGGGCUGGUCUGACACCACUCUGUUCGGAUCGCCCCUGGAGGGGGAGGAGGCAUCAGGGCGUGGGGAGUCACCAGAUGUCUGGACGCCGCUUCUGUCUGCCGCCGCCCUGCUCAACGUGGGGCUUUCAGCACCUGCAGCCUGGUUAGCAGCCGCGCCUUUAGCUGCAGGAGCCCCCCCGGCCUGCCGCUCCCGGCCGGUGGACACAGGAGAAUGUCCUCGGCUGCUUCUCCCUCCCCCUCCUCCUGCUGCUGCUUGCUUUGAGGCGACAGGUUUUGACGGGCUGCUCCCUUUCUGUGUCGCUUUAGACCCGCCGUCUUUGAGGCCGGCCGGGGAGGAAGAGCGCGGCUGCUUCCGGCUGCUAUUGUCGGCAGUGGGUGAUGGCUGCAUCAUGGUGUCAGAGGAUCAGCGCAUCCUCGGCAACAUCAUCAUCCCCUCCCUGCAACUGCAACUGCAACACAACAUCACCCUGCAGCUUCAGACUGAAUGUGUAGUCGGAUGCUGAAGGGUGGUGGUGAUGAAGGCAAGAGGGGGCGCCGACUCCACAGCCUCCCAUUCUCCAGCCACUUCUCUUGCAUAUUCAUGACAUUACAUCAUCGCUGCGAGGGCUGCUCUCAUUGGUUGGACUAAAAGGAACCAUGGAUGCCCCUCCCCUCAACCUUCCAAUCUAUUUACGCCCGAGGACCAUUCACUCCUAGGCUGCUUGAUAAUAGAUGACAGAUGUCUGCAUUGUGGAGGCUUCUAUGAACCAUGCAAGGUAACAACAAUGAUAGAGGUCUGUCUUCCAUACCUUUAUAUAUUUCAGUUUCAGUUUAUUUCAAACAUGCAUAAAAUACAAUUCCAAUGCAUCAGAUAUUUCCAGUUGUUUCAUCACAUCAUAUCUGAAAAAGAGUAGGAAGAAGCAGAGCUUAUUUAAUCCUACCCCUUUUCAUAUCAUAGCAGUUGUAUCCCAUUUAUUUGUCCUCUAUAUAUAAAUAGCUUGUUCCUUUCCUUGAUUUCACUUAAAAAAGGGAAAGUUCUUCAAAAAGACUCUUUUUCAUAACCUAACACUGCAUUCUGCUAAUUAUUUACACAUGACCUUUAAUUGGACACCUGCCAAAUGUUGCACACUUACUGGCUCUAGCUACACAAUAAUUCAGCCAUUAGACAUAAAUAUUGUUUUUCUUGAUGGACAAAUGUUAUUUUUACUAUGUUGAGUGUGAAUGUUGUCUGUCUAUCUGUGUUGGCCCUGCGAUGAGGUGGCGACUUGUCCAGGGUGUACCCCGCCUUUCGCCCGAGUGCAGCUGUGAUAGGCUCCAGCACCCCCCGCGACCCCGAGAGGGACAAGCGGUAGAAAAUGGAUGGAUGUUCUUACAGUGUUUACUGCUUUGAUGGGUUGGGUGCAGUGGUCAAAUUGUUACAAAGCUGGCACUAUGAACCAAAGUUGAAGAAAAACAUACAAUCUAAUGUUGUAACACUGCUGAAGGAUACCUCCCACUCAUUAUAUCUGCUGGGGACAUCUUAAAACACCCAUGUUACCACACGUUCUGUAACCUCACCCCCCCCCACACACACACACACACACACACACACACACACACACACACACACACACACACACACACACACACACACACACACACACACACACACGUACACACACAAGCAGACCUCAGCUGGUUCAAUGAAACAUUGGGGGGAAGGGGCUGAAAGAGUGGUCAUGGGAGGAGUUGGCAGGGUGAGGGUGUGG